GAUGAACGCUGGCGGCGUGCCUAAUACAUGCAAGUCGAGCGAACAGACGAGGAGCUUGCUCCUCUGACGUUAGCGGCGGACGGGUGAGUAACACGUGGAUAACCUACCUAUAAGACUGGGAUAACUUCGGGAAACCGGAGCUAAUACCGGAUAAUAUAUUGAACCGCAUGGUUCAAUAGUGAAAGACGGUUUUGCUGUCACUUAUAGAUGGAUCCGCGCCGCAUUAGCUAGUUGGUAAGGUAACGGCUUACUAAGGCAACGAUGCGUAGCCGACCUGAGAGGGUGAUCGGCCACACUGGAACUGAGACACGGUCCAGACUCCUACGGGAGGCAGCAGUAGGGAAUCUUCCGCAAUGGGCGAAAGCCUGAGGGAGCAACGCCGCGUGAGUGAUGAAGGUCUUCGGAUCGUAAAACUCUGUUAUUAGGGAAGAACAAAUGUGUAAGUAACUAUGCACGUCUUGACGGUACCUAAUCAGAAAGCCACGGCUAACUACGUG
rnacentral:rRNA from 1 species